rfam:Emmonsia parva TAMH 139 supercont1.347, whole genome shotgun sequence.
GGGCGAUUGGUUUAGUGGUAUAAUACCCCCUUAGCAUCAGCUGGUCCUCUAAAAAGAGUUGGCAAGCGCGACUCAGUCACGUGACCCAGGGUGGGGGUGGUCGAGGGUUCGAUUCCCUCAUCGUCCA